rnacentral:rRNA from 1 species
UACGGGGGGUGCAAGCGUUAUCCGGAUUUACUGGGUUUAAAGGGUGCGUAGGUGGGCAGGUAAGUCAGUGGUGAAAUCUCCGAGCUUAACUCGGAAACUGCCAUUGAUACUAUCUGUCUUGAAUUAUCUGGAGGUGAGCGGAAUAUGUCAUGUAGCGGUGAAAUGCUUAGAUAUGACAUAGAACACCAAUUGCGAAGGCAGCUCACUACGGAUAUAUUGACACUGAGGCACGGAAA